rnacentral:rRNA from 1 species
UACGUAGGGUCCGAGCGUUGUCCGGAAUUACUGGGCGUAAAGAGCUCGUAGGUGGUUUGUCGCGUUGUUCGUGAAAACUCACAGCUUAACUGUGGGCGUGCGGGCGAUACGGGCAGACUAGAGGUACUGCAGGGGAGACUGGAAUUCUGGUGUAGCGGUGGAAUGCGCAGAUAGUCAGGAGGAACACCGGUGGCGAAGGCGGGUCUCUGGGCAGUAACUGACGUGGAGGAGCGAAAGCGUGGGGAGCGAACAGG